rnacentral:rRNA from 1 species
CACGUAGGGGGCAAGCGUUGUCCGGAUUUAUUGGGCGUAAAGAGCGUGUAGGCGGCCAGGUAGGUCUGCUGUGAAAACUCGAGGCUCAACCUCGAGACGUCGGCGGAAACCAUCUGGCUAGAGUCCGGAAGAGGAGAGCGGAAUUCCUGGUGUAGCGGUGAAUGCGCAGAUAUCAGGAAGAACACCCGUGGCGAAGGCGGCUCUCUGGGACGGUACUGACGCUGAGACGCGAAAGCGUGGGGAGCGAACAGG